rnacentral:rRNA from 1 species
CGUAGGAGACGAGCGUUAUCCGGAUUUACUGGGCGUAAAGCGUGUGCAGGCGGUUCGGCAAGUUGGAUGUGAAAUCUCCCGGCUCAACUGGGAGGGGUCGUUCAAAACUACCGAACUUGAGGUCAUCAGAGGAAGGUGGAAUUCCGGGUGUAGUGGUGAAAUGCGUAGAUAUCCGGAGGAACACCAGUGGCGAAGGCGGCCUUCUGGGAUGAUCCUGACGCUCAGACACGAAAGCUAGGGGAGCGAACAGGAUUAGAGACCCCGGUAGUCCUAGCUGUAAACGAUGUAGACUUGGCGUCGGAGGGUUCAAAACCUUCGGUGUCGUAGCUAACGCGAUAAGUCUACCGCCUGGGGACUACGGCCGCAAGGUUA